rnacentral:rRNA from 1 species
UACAGAGGUCCCAAGCGUUGUUCGGAUUCAUUGGGCGUAAAGGGUGCGUAGGCGGCGCGGUAAGUCGGGUGUGAAAUCUCGGGGCUUAACUCCGAAACUGCAUUCGAUACUGCCGUGCUUGAGGACUGGAGAGGAGACUGGAAUUUACGGUGUAGCGGUGAAAUACGUAGAUAUCUGGAGGAACACCGGUGGCGAAGGCGGCAUCCUGGACCGGCAUUGACGCUGAGGCGCGAAAGCCAGGGGAGCAAACGGG